rnacentral:rRNA from 1 species
UACGGAGGGUGCAAGCGUUGUCCGGAUUUAUUGGGUUUAAAGGGUGCGUAGGCGGCCCGGUAAGUCAGUGGUGAAAGCCUCCAGCUCAACUGGAGAACUGCCAUUGAUACUGCCGAGCUUGAGUACAGACGAGGUUGGCGGAAUUGAUUGUGUAGCGGUGAAAUGCAUAGAUACAAUCAAGAACUCCGAUUGCGUAGGCAGCUAACUAGGCUGUAACUGACGCUGAGGCACGAAAGCGUGGGGAGCGAACAGG